CAAGGCACCAAACAAUAACAAAAAACCCAAACAACGAACUGCAAAAACUAAAACAGCAGCAACAACAACAGCAAGAGUGUGUGGUGCCAGAGGAGCAAAGAGAGCCAAACAAAAAUAUAUUGUACGAUUCAAGUACCGUUGCCGUAGAGUAGUCGUGGAAUAGAAGGGGAGGCAAGAGCAGUAAAGUGUGAUAAAAUGUCAUUGAAAUGUCAAAUAAAUGAAAGAAUGUCCAAAGAGUGGGGGGGGGGGGGGAGGCGCAAGAUCAUUUCACUUUCGAGGCCUGCCUGCAGUUUUUACAGCAUUUAAUGGCAAAAUCAUCAGAUUUUAGGAGAGAGAUAGGGAGAGAGAGAACAGUUAAAAAAGAGCAGGAGGAACACAAAUGGAGGCUUGUGUUAGAGAGAGAAAGAGCAAAUGCUACGCAAAUAUGAGGACAAGGUGAUGACAUACAUACUACUCCAUCCAAUUCAGAAAUCUUUCUUUGUGGCUUCGAUCUAUGUGUGGAUUAUCCAUAGGCUAUCCAGCCUCUUGAGCCGACCCCCCCGGGUCUUGGAACCGAUUCGCAGCGUCCUUAUAUCUUUAUAGGCAUCUCAGGAGCAGGCUUUUCGAUUCCCAUCGCUAGGAAUCGUUGCAGCAAUCAUCACUCUCGCAAAGAGUGGGGCACAGCCGUAAUUAUCACACCCCCCGCACUCCCCUUCUGCUCGUGGAAAAUCUCUGCUGGAAAAUCUGUGUAAAAUCUGAUAUCAACAUGGAAACUGUCGGCCCGUCUCCGGUGUCAACCCUCGUCGCAUUGCCUGUUUCUGCUCCCUGCCGCAUGCCGCAUGCCACAUGCCAGUGGCAGUGCCUCUCUGAUGGCUUUGUUCUUUGUGUUGUCAAACUGUCAGGAUGGCGAUUUGCUGCCGCACAAUUGAUACAUUGAUAAAUGAUGUUCCCAGGAGGCAAUCUCGCAGGAUCUCCACCUCUUCUCCUCCUUCUACUGCUCGAUUCAUGCCACUUGGACGCUAAUUUUGUGUGACAAACAAUACUCUCUCUCUCGCUCUCUCCCUCGCUGGGAACGUGAGACGAUUUUCGAUUGUGGGGCACGGACUUAAUGGGGUUUUGUCAUGCAAGGAGCACAUUUGCUGCCGCAUUCUUGUGGCAAUUAAAAGGAUAUUAGUAGCCAUGUAAUA